rnacentral:lncRNA from 1 species
AUUUAUGAGAUGUAACUCUGAAGGUCAGGAGGGCAGGAAAUGAUGUAUAUAAAGCCAUGAAAGAAAAUAACUGACAACUUAAAUUACCAUAUUCAGCAAAUCCAUCUUUCAGAGUUGAAAAAGAAAUAAAAUACUUCCAAGAUAAGCAUAAACUUAAGGAAUUAAUAGUCACUAAAAUAGUAUUGAAGAAAUUACUUAAAGGAUUCUUACACACAGAAGGACACAUACACAAUUACAAGAACAUAGGAGAGAAUAAUGCUCACUAGAGGAGUAGAUUAGAAAUGAGAAAUAGAAAAUCAUCAAAUAUUACAGGAAUUGGUACAUACUUUUUAAUAAUAACCCUGUAUGUAAAUGGCCUUAAUUCUCUAAUUGAAAGAAACAGACUGGUGGAAUGGAUUAAAAAAUAAUAUCCAACUCUUUAUAACAUGCAAUAAAUACACUUCUGGUGGAGCAUACCUGUAACCCCAGUGGCUUGGGAGGCUGAGUCAGGAGGAUCAUGAGAUAAAAGCCAGUGGGACCCUCUCUCUAAAUAAAAUAUAAAAUAGGGCUGGGGAUCAGUGGUCAAGUGUUCCUGAGUUCAAUCCCUAGUACCCACUCCAUAUAAUAGUAAUAAAUGCACCUCACCAAGAAAGACAUACACAGACUGAAAGUGAAAGAAUGUAAAAUGAUACUCUAUGCAAAUGGAAUCUGAAAGGAAGCAGGAAUAGCAACACUCAUAUCUAACGAAGCAGACCAAAAACCAGCUGGGCAAACAUGUCCCAAUAACUCUGUGAAGUGUCUAGGACACAUGGCAAGGAGAUAUAUUCUCCAAAGGGCUUGGGAGUCCCACUCCUUUGGUUGUGCUAGUUGUGCUCAUGGCCUUCUUUCUUAGCCUGGCUUUCUCAGCAGCCAGCAGCUUUUCUUGGUAUACAGUCUAUGUUACUGGCAUUUAUUUAUUCUUGGUGUCUGC